UAGGGGGCGAGCGUUAUCCGGAUUUACUGGGUGUAAAGGGAGCGCAGGCGGCGUGGCAAGUCAGAUGUGAAACCCCGGGGCCCAACCCCGGGACUGCAUUUGAAACUGCCAUGCUGGAGUGCCGGAGAGGUAAGUGGAAUUCCUAGUGUAGCGGUGAAAUGCGUAGAUAUUAGGAGGAACACCAGUGGCGAAGGCGGCUUACUGGACGGUAACUGACGCUGAGGCUCGAAAGCGUGGGGAGCAAA
rnacentral:rRNA from 1 species